CCCGAACUCGCCGAGCGGCUGCGCCGCGAUCCAGCCCUGAUCGCGCCGUUCCUGGAGGAGGUGUUGCGGUUCGAGUCCCCGUUCCGGGG
rnacentral:tRNA from 1 species